CCUGCAGACGAUUUAUACUCUUGAUGCAGUCAUUUCAAAGGUGCAGGUGUCUCUGGAUGAGCACUUCACCAAGGUAGCUGCUGAGACAGACCAUCACAAAUCCUCAGAGAUAAUAAAGAACCUACUUCCUGCAACAAUGCAGUUAAUUGACAUAUAUGCAUCUUUUGCCAGGUCUUACUUGCUAAUGAAUCUUCCAAAUACGAGUGAAGACAAACCAACAGAUGAGAGGCUGCAAGCCUAUGCUGCAGUGCUUUCUAUGGGAUCAACCCGCUGCAAAGCAAACACAUUGGGUCAGGCUGUGGUACAGAACCUUCCUUCUGCAGUCCAGACACUAUGUGAAACAUGGAAUAAUAUUCAUACCAACGA